rnacentral:rRNA from 1 species
CGAGUCCGAGUCUCCACGGAGACGAAGUGGCGGUCAUCCAGCUUCCUAGAAAAGCUCUAACCACGUUAAUCUUUAGUUGCCUGUACCCGAAACCGACACAGGUAGGGGGGUAGAGAAUACCAAGGGGCGCGAGAUAACUCUCUCUAAGGAACUCGGCAAAAUGACCCCGUAACUUCGGGAGAAGGGGUACCACUGAGAAGUGGUCGCAGUGAAGAGGCCCAGGCGACUGUUACCAAAAACACAGGUCUCCGCCAAGUCGCAAGACGAAGUAUGGGGGCUGACGCCUGCCCAGUGCCGGAAGGUUAAGGAAGUGGGUUAGGGAUUCGUCCCGAAGCUGACGACUGAAGCCCCGGUGAACGGCGGCCGUAACUAUAACGGUCCUAAGGUAGCGAAAUUCCUUGUCGGGUAAGUUCCGACCCGCGCGAAAGGCGUAACGAUCUGGGCGCUGUCUCGGAGAGAGGCUCGGCGAAAUAGGAUUGUCUGUGAAGAUACGGACUACCUGCACCUGGACAGAAAGACCCUAUGAAGCUUUACUGUAGCUUGGAAUUGGGUUCGGGCAUGGUUUGCGCAGGAUAGGUGGGAGGCGAAGAAGAUUUGCUUGUGGGUGAAUCUGAGCCAACGGUGAGAUACCACUCUAACCAGGCUAGAAUUCUAACUUCAACCCGUCAACCGGGGGAAGGACAGUUUCAGGUGGGCAGUUUGGCUGGGGCGGUCGCCUCCUAAAAGAUAACGGAGGCGCACAAAGGUUCCCUCAGGCUGGUUGGAAAUCAGCCAACGAGUGCAAAGGCAGAAGGGAGCUUGACUGCGAGACCUACAAGUCAAGCAGGGUGGAAACACGGUCUUAGUGAUCCGACGGCACCGAGUGGAAGGGCCGUCGCUCAACGGAUAAAAGUUACUCUAGGAUAAGAGGCUGAUCUCCCCCAAGAGUUCACAUCGACGGGGAGGUUUGGCACCUCGAUGUCGGCUCAUCGCAACCUGGGGCGGAAGUACGUCCCAAGGGUUGGGCUGUUCGCCCAUUAAAGCGGUACGUGAGCUGGGUUCAGAACGUCGUGAGACAGUUCGGUCCAUAUCCGGUGUAGGCGCAAGAACAUUGAGAGGAGUCUUCCCUAGUACGAGAGGACCGGGAAGAACGCACCGCUGGUGUACCUGUUAUCGUGCCAACGGUAAACGCAGGGUAGCCAAGUGCGGAGUGGAUAACCGCUGAAAGCAUCUAAGUGGGAAGCCCACCUCAAGAUGGGUGUUCUCAUGGAGUAAUCCAGUAAGGUCACGGGAAGACGACCCGUUGAUAGGCGGUAGGUGGAAGUUCAGCAAUGGAUGAAGCCGAGCCGUGCUAACAGACCAAGGGCUUGACC